GAGAAGAGAAAAAGGGAAAAAAAUUACAGACCCAGAGAAAGCAGUAUCACCAGCUGUUCUCCAACAGUUUCUAAACUGUUCCCUAUUGCGACUCCGCAGAUGUCCCUGGCAAGUGGUGCCUGGUACAGGGACCCUCUUCCCCCCGGUUCUUUUAUUGGAACCUUCCCUUCGGUUAUCUUUGGAGAAUCCCCUACUUGUCCAGUUCUUUCAAGAACCCCCGAUGCUGUGUGCUGGUCGUGCAGAGUUUCGACACUACGGAGAUCCCCUUGGUGGUAAAGACAGAGUAUGGCUCCCUUCCCGCCGAGUUCGAGAAAUUGACCAUAAAGAGGACAAGGAGAGGACGCAGGAAGCCUCGCAAGGAGACUCGACAACGUCUCCAUAAGAUACUGACUCUUCUGCUUCUAUUUCAGAAUUUAAGUACAGCUACUGAAAUAAAGAGAUGGGUCUUUUGGGAACAACCACCUUGGGUAGAGUAUGUCAGCAUGGGACACGCUUUGAAAAGUGAUUAUAGAUAUGCUGCAUUUUGCUUGCUACCCAUAACAGUAAAUAAUGAUACAAAAACAUUGGAAAAAAUAAAAUUACAAUUACAGGGAUUAUGGGACCAUGAAAACAUCACCAAAGAUAUUAAUGAUUUGGGUAUGUAAAUUCAGAAUAUUGUUUUAUCCUUAUAGGAGAACCUUAUACCGCAGCAUAUUGCAGAUUCUUUGUAUAAUUGGAUUGAAACAAAAAAGGGAUUGUUGUCCUCCUUAGUUCAUGAUAUUACUCUUCUAGUAGUUGGUACGCUUGUGAUUUUGUUUAUCUGCUUAUGCUUGCCUUCUUUACUAAAAGCUUUAUUAACUAGUUUUGCUGUAUUGCAAAAAAAAAACCUAUUAAUUGGACCCUGUACUAAAGGGAAUUAUAUGGCAUAAAUGAAAAGGGGGAAUUGCAGUGAACCUUUCAUGACUUCAUAGAAUGGAGUUCCUCUUCCCAGGUGUCUGUGACGUACCAUUCCUGCUGAGUACGCCAAAACAUAUUAAUCUCAGUUCAAGGCUGUAUGAACAGUUCCAAGAUCUCCUGGGAACAGGUUAACUCCCCUGUUCACAUUCUGGGGAGGAUUGAGGAGGAUAGACUGUGUCUCUCUAGAAGAGCUUUAAAUCUGGUGUGCUACUUACAAUAAACGUUCAUUAUCCCUCUGAAAAUGUUCCA
rnacentral:lncRNA from 1 species